rnacentral:rRNA from 1 species
CGUAGGAUGCAAGCGUUGUCCGGAUUUAUUGGGCGUAAAGAGUUCGUAGGUGGUUUGUUAGGUCUGAUGUUAAAGACUGGGGCUCAACCUCGGAAAUGCAUUGGAUACUGGCAGACUCGAGUGUGGUAGAGGCAAUCGGAAUUCCAGGUGUAGCGGUGAAAUGCGUAGAUAUCUGGAAGAACACCGGUGGCGCAAGCGGAUUGCUGGGCCAUAACUGACGCUGAGGAACGAAAGCUAGGGUAGCGAAUGGGAUUAGAUACCCCAGUAGUCCUAGCCGUAAACGAUGGAUACUAGGCGUAUUGGGUAUCGACCCCUGAUGUGCCGCAGCUAACGCGAUAAGUAUCCCGCCUGAGUAGUACGGCCGCAAGGUUG